ensembl:lncRNA
UUUUUUUUUUGCUUUUUUUAGAGCCGCACCCGCAGCAUAUGGAGGUUCCCAGGCUAGGAGUCCAAUCACAGCUGAAGCUCCUGGCCUCCACCACAGCCACAGCAAUGCAGGAUCCGAGCCGUGUCUGCGACCGACGCCACAGCUCACGACGCCAGAUCCUUAACCUACCGAGCGAGGCCAGGGAUCGAACCUGCGUCCUCACGGAUGCUAGUCAGAUUGGUAAACCGCUGUGCCACAACGGGAACUCCUGAACCCAUUUUAAUAUAAAACACCUAGAGUAAUAUUUUAAAUGGAAUGACAAUUAUUUUUAUUUCCCCUAAAUUUUAUAAUGCAAAUUUAUGAACACGGGCAGAAAAGAAAUGCAGUGUGCACCCCUGUUUAUUCGGCGCUCAGAUGCUGUAACAGUAGCAGGCUGCUCUACCUGGCUUCUUACACAGCCUUCCAUCCACCCAUCUUAUUUUCUGACGCAUUUCAAAUGUCAGAAGUCAUAUGGCGGUUCCCAGGCCAGGGGUCCAAUCGGAGCUGUAGCCGCCGGCCUAUACCACAGCUCACGGCAACACCGGAUCCUUAACCCACUGCGCAAGGCCAGGGAUCCAACCUGGGUCCUCAUGGAUGCGAGUCAGAUUCGUUUCCACUGAGCCACGACGGGAACUCCGAAUGCAAAAAUCUCUUGUACCGUUUCAUGGAUUGCAGCCAAUGUCAUGUAAUUCAAUCGCUCUGAAGAUUCAGAAGAUCUGCACCCCCUGUGCUUCUGUGGGACCCCAACUCCCUCCCUGUCCCCCGCCACACUCUUCGGAUGCUUCUAACUCAAGAUGAGUUUUGCCUGUUGUAGAAUUUCCUGUGUAGAGAAUCACUCACUUCGUGCAUAGGCCUCUGUUCACACAACACCUUGUCUUGCAGAUACACCCGCAGUAACAGGUUCUCACACUGCCUUCAUCACCGGCAUCCUCAGAUAUGGAGCCAUCACGACCGAGGCUUUUCCUCUUCUGGGUGAAACGCAAGGGGUCCCCGAGAGAAGAGGGCGACCUCCUUCCAUCAAGGGAGUAACCCCCAAUCAUCAAGGCCGCUCUGGUCCUGCCACGAAGGAGCAGGGACCAAGGUGCCCAGGUUUCUAGAACACUGAACCCAUGUCUGAAUGCACUGGGCCUGGGGUGUGUGUGUUGGCGGCUGAGAAAAGGUCACAAGGACCCUUGAGACCCCAAGUUCAAAACCCUUUCUUUUCCACAGGAAGGCUUGCUUUAAUCCAUCCAAAGAAAGCUCCCUGUGGUGAAGGGGUUAAGAAUCUAACCGCCGCAGCGUGGGUCUCUGUGGAGGCAAGGGUUCGAUCCCAAGCCCAGUGCAGUGGGUUCAGAAUCCGGCAUUGCUGCCGCUGUGGCCCAGAUUCGAGCCCUGGCCCAGGAACUUCUACACGCAUGGGUGUGGUCCCAAAACAAGAACAAGAAAGCACCCGCAUGGACAAAAACUGAGCAACGCCGACUUUGGUGACAUCGUGGUUCAGAAAAAUGGCACUGAGACGAAAAAUCCAUGGUGGCCACUUUGCAAACGAGUCACAGAAUCCCAGACUGGACUCCCAGACCAAGCUACACACGCAGCAGCAGGUCACAGAUCACCGUCCGCAUCUCAACAGCUCAGAAGGUUAAAACGCCGCACGGCAGCACCAAGAGCACAGGUCCCUGCGCUCAGAGCGGAAGACCCGGCCUCCCCGCCAAGGCCCUCUGUCGCCACAGUCCCAUCUACGGGAGGCUUAAGAACACGGGCUAAAGCCACACGGCAACCUCCACACGUCAUCUCAACACAUUUAUCUUUUUUUUUUUUUUUAACACAUCUAUCUUAAUGUUGAAAACUGUGAAAAUUAAACAGGUCCGCCUGCUACGGCAACGCCCUUCAAGGGUGCUAUGAGCCAAGGACAAAGGGACAGAUUGUGAUUUUUAUUAAGUUGUUCAAAGAAGGCAGAUUUGUCUUUGCAGUUCUACCUCUGACACUGCGACUCGUGAUGUUUUAUUUAAUACGUGUGUUCACACAUAAGCUUUUCUUUUCUUUUUUGGCUGCCCUGCGGCAUGUGGAGUUCCCCAGCCAGGGAUCAGAUCCGAGUUGCAGUCACGACCUAAGCUGCCGCUGCGCCAGUGCCAGAUCCUCAACCCACUGGGCCGGCCCGGGGAUCGAACCUGCAUCCCAGCACUCCUAAGACACCGCUGAUCCCACUGUGCCACAGAGGGAACUCCCCAGAUAAGCUUUGCUAAUGAAGCUUUUGGGGACUUCAUUUGGAGGAAAAAGACCCCAACGUGGAUAGAUUAAAAGGACUCAUAUUUUGCUAGUUAAUAACCCAAAUCAUGAGUAUCUAGCGAGAAUCAGAGAAAGUAAUUUGACAGGAAGGCUCUCACUUCAAAAUCCAUCCUUGGCUGAGACAUAUGAGGAAAAGGCAAAUUAAAGCUCAGGAAAGGCAACACACUAAAUAACACAGACACAUCAACAAAGAAAGCUCAGAAAAUCCAGGUAGCUCCUUCCUCCAAAAAAAAAAAAGUAAAUGAUAAAAGAUAAUAAAGGGACUUUGUCUUUAAAACAGACUUCCGGAGUUCCCACUGUGGCUCAUCGGGUUUAGAAGCCAACAUGGUGUCCGUGAGGAUGCAGGGUCAACCCCUGGCCUCGUUCAGUGGGUCAAGGAUCCGGCACUGCGGCAACCUGCAGCACAGGCUGCAGAUGUGGCUCAGAUCUGUCAUUGCUGUGGCUGUGGCUCCGAGGCCAUCCCUGGCCUGGGAACUUGCAUUUGCCACAGGUGUGUCCCUAAGAAAAAAGAAGAAGAAGAAGAAAAAGGAAAGAGUCUUGCAUUACAGAGAGCAAGAGAGCACGCUCGGGUAACGAAAGGCAUCCUUCC